AAGGAUUCCCCCCUUACCUCUUCAAUUUUCUGGAAACCCUUGCUCUUCUCUUUACUUUUCCUCUCCUCUUUCUCUAUUGCCUUCAAAUGAUUAAAUGAAUCCUAAUUCUCACUCUCCUCCCCUUUAUAUAUAGUAUUCUAUUUGGGCUUAAAUCAUGAUACUUCUAAUUUAAUUAAUAGGCCCAAUAAGACCUAAUAUUUAAAUAUCUCUAUUUAAUUAAAAUAAAUUAAACCAAC
rnacentral:lncRNA from 1 species